rnacentral:rRNA from 1 species
AUUGAACGCUGGCGGCAGGCCUAACGCAUGCAAGUCGAGCGGAUGAAGGGAGCUUGGUCCUGGAUCCAGCGGCGGACGGGUGAGUAAUGCCUAGGAAUCUGCCUGGUAGUGGGGGAUAACGUCCGGAAACGGGCGCUAAUACCGCAUACGUCCUGAGGGAGAAAGUGGGGGAUCUUCGGACCUCACGCUAUCAGAUGAGCCUAGGUCGGAUUAGCUAGUUGGUGGGGUAAAGGCCUACCAAGGCGACGAUCCGUAACUGGUCUGAGAGGAUGAUCAGUCACACUGGAACUGAGACACGGUCCAGACUCCUACGGGAGGCAGCAGUGGGGAAUAUUGGACAAUGGGCGAAAGCCUGAUCCAGCCAUGCCGCGUGUGUGAAGAAGGUCUUCGGAUUGUAAAGCACUUUAAGUUGGGAGGAAGGGCAGUAAGUUAAUACCUUGCUGUUUUGACGUUACCAACAGAAUAAGCACCGGCUAACUUCGUG